UUGUCCUACCUGUUGAAUCUCUUCUCCUCGUAACAGAAACAUUUGAAAAAUCUUCACUUCCAUCACUACAACGGGCUUCAGCCAUGAGCAAAAAGCCAGGAAGACUGUUAAACAGUCAAAGACUGAUGAACGAAACCCUGCGGUUGGCGCGAGCAUCAUGACAAACAGAAGGGCGAGAGAGAGAUCUGUGCACGCGCGUCUUUUACUGCUCAGCAGAGGGCGGAGAAGAUUACAUUGAUUUUAAACCUUUCUGUGAAACAUUAGACUACACAAAGAAAUACGUAAAGAAAAAAAAGUUGUGAUCCUUAGCUAUUCAGAAGUGUCAUUAAACAAGAAGUGAGUCCAGGCCAAACGAACAUUUGUUUUAUAAUUUGAGCAGCCUGGAGAGUCAAAUUAAAAUAAACAACAACAGUUAACAAUUAUUCUUUUUAGCCAUAUUAUUUAUGCAAACUAUUUAUUUCAGUAUUUUAUUUUUAUUUUGAUGUCAACCCCAAUUAUAUGAAAUGUUGUAUCCAAAAUAUCCAUUUCAUCAAUUCACUGUUUCAUUUACAUUCUAUCAGUUUUAAAAUGAAGCAUGCAUAAUAUUCUGAUUGUGAACAACUGCAUGAUUUCAAAAGGUUCAUUUUAUUUUAAUGAAUUGGCAUAAUAUGCAUCUAUGUUUUUAAAAUUUAUUAUAAAACGAUCAGAAUUUAGGUCAUUGCUAGAAUAUGUGCUAAAAUAAUAAAUGUAGUAUCACUCUUAA